rnacentral:rRNA from 1 species
UAAAACUUUCAACAACGGAUCUCUUGGCUCUGGCAUCGAUGAAGAACGCAGCGAAAUGCGAUAAGUAAUGUGAAUUGCAGAAUCCAGUGAAUCAUCGAAUCUUUGAACGCACAUUGCGCCCGCCAGCAUUCUGGCGGGCAUGCCUGUUCGAGCGUCA